rnacentral:rRNA from 1 species
UUUAGAGUUUGAUUCUGGCUCAGGACGAACGCUGGCGGCGUGCUUAACACAUGCAAGUCGAGCGGAAUAUAGGGGCUUGCUCCCAUAUUUAGCGGCGGACGGGUGAGUAACGCGUGAGCAACCUGCCUUAGACUACGGGAUAACACUUAGAAAUAGGUGCUAAUACCGUAUAAGACCACACUCAGGCAUCUGAGAGGGGUAAAAGAUUUAUCGGUUUAAGAUGGGCUCGCGUCCCAUUAGUUAGUUGGUGAGGUAACGGCCCACCAAGACUGUGAUGGGUAGCCGACCUGAGAGGGUGAUCGGCCACAUUGGAACUGAGAAACGGUCCAAACUCCUACGGGAGGCAGCAGUGGGGAAUAUUGGGCAAUGGGCGCAAGCCUGACCCAGCAACGCCGCGUGAAUGAUGAAGGUCUUCGGAUUGUAAAGUUCUGUCGCAGGGGACGAAGUAUGACGGUACCCUGUAAGAAAGCCCCGGCAAACUACGUGCCAGCAGCCGCGGUAAUACGUAGGGGGCUAGCGUUGUCCGGAAUGACUGGGCGUAAAGGGUGUGUAGGCGGUUUAUUAAGUUGGAUGUGCAAUCCUGGGGCUUAACCCCAGAACUGCAUCCAAAAC